CGAGGACCAGAGCGGGCCGACGUACCCACGGUUUUAUCGCAACACCUUGCCCAACCCACGCUUCGAAAAGUAGCAAAGGUGGUGUCUCGGCAGCAAGCCACUUCAGCACUGCUACGAUGACAAGUCCAUAGGGUUUGACCAUCUUGCAGUAAUGGCAAAUGACCUACGAUUGCAUUUUUAUUGAAUCUAAUAAAGCAAUAAAGAGAAAUUUCACAUCAG